rnacentral:lncRNA from 1 species
AUGCGGCUGGGCGUCCCCACCACGCAGGAGCGUCCCAACGCCGCCAGCCGCGGUCCCGGGCACCCCCUCGUCCUCCAGCAGGUAGGACAGUGCCGCGAGGAACUCCUGGAAACUCUGGUCCAUGAACUGGUAGGUGACCUCCGUCUCCAGCACGCCAGGCAGCUCUUUUUUGCUGAGAAACAGCGUCUGGACUUUGGAGCCACGAAGCUCCAGUUGCUCCAGUUGCUUCUCGGCAAACUGCGCCCUGCGUCCGAGGACGCCCUCGCGGGCCAGGCGGCACAGAUUGCGCAGGUCGCGCUGCACCCGGGGCCCGUCGGCUACCGGAGCCGAGCUCAGCACGCUGGCGAUGAAAAGCAGGUACACGGACGUGGUGGUCUUGGAUGUGCGCGACAGGUCCAGGCCGAGCUCCAGCUGCUGGUUCAGCACGGUGCACACGAUCCAGCACACGAAGGGCACGAAGCACAGCGCGAACAGCGUUUCGUUCUCCUUCACGAAGCGGUAGGCGCGCUCGGCUCUCCUCUCGUCCUGGAAGAACUUGUAGAAAUACUUCUUCUUGUCCUUGUCAGAGAAGCCGCGCACCUCGGCGCACUGCGGGGAAUCCAGGCGGCCCUGCAGCCUCCCGGGGGCCGCGGAGCGCGUGGUCACGAGCAGGAGGGCCGUGGGCAGCAGCGCUUUACUCAGCAGCCCGCCCAGCACCCGCGCACCACUCGCCGCCUCGAAGGGGUCUGUGCAGGGCGCGGCCUCAGGGCCCUCCAGCGCGGGCAGCUCGUCCGCGCCGUCCAGGAUGAAGAGCAGCCGCUGCGGUUGGGCCAGCAUUUGCUGCACCGGCGCGCCGCGGUCGGGGCACUGGUCCAGGAUCAGGUCAGCCAGGCUGCGCGUGCCCGGCCGCUCCAGCAGCUCGCCGCAGGGCAUGAAGAAGGCGAAGUCCACCUGGCCCUGGUACAGCUUGCCCGCCGCCCAGUCGUACAGGAUCUUUCUGGCCGCCAUGGUCUUGCCGAUGCCCGCCGGGCCCUGCAGCACCACGGUCAGCCGCUGCCGGCCCUCCUCGUCGCCGCGGAAGAGGCGGUUGAAAGUGUGCGUGUCCGAGCGACGCGCGCGCCCCGGCUCGGGCUCCUCCGCAGGCCCCAGCGCCUCCUCCUCCCGGGCGGCGCUCUCGGGCGCGAUGAGCAGCUUGGUGAACCGCUUGGUGAUCUUCACGGAGCGGGCGUUCCUCUCCUUCACCCGGGCGUGCAGCUGCAGCACGUGCUCCCGGUACUUCUUCUUGUAUUCUGGGCGCAGCGGGAGACAGCGCGGGGACAGGGGUCGGCGGUGGGGCAGGCUGCGCCCUUGGGGAGCCCACGCCCUCCCCGGCUCUGCUCAGGCCUCAGUUUCCUCUACUGGACCACGGCCCACGCCCCUGGCGGCCCUCCCACCCCGGUCCUCCCCCAGACCCUCCAAGUGAGGUUGGGACACGCGUGUCCCCCAGCAAGAGAGACCCACCGGACACGGAGAGCAGCGCCACGGAGCCGAGCCCGAGCCCUGGAAGGGAAACUGGGGUGA